AUUGAACGCUGGCGGCAUGCCUUACACAUGCAAGUCGAACGGUAACAGGUCUUCGGAUGCUGACGAGUGGCGAACGGGUGAGUAAUACAUCGGAACGUGCCCGAUCGUGGGGGAUAACGGAGCGAAAGCUUUGCUAAUACCGCAUACGAUCUACGGAUGAAAGCAGGGGACCGCAAGGCCUUGCGCGGACGGAGCGGCCGAUGGCAGGUUAGGUAGUUGGUGGGAUAAAAGCUUACCAAGCCGACGAUCUGUAGCUGGUCUGAGAGGACGACCAGCCACACUGGGACUGAGACACGGCCCAGACUCCUACGGGAGGCAGCAGUGGGGAAUUUUGGACAAUGGGCGCAAGCCUGAUCCAGCCAUGCCGCGUGCAGGAUGAAGGCCUUCGGGUUGUAAACUGCUUUUGUACGGAACGAAAAGACUCUUUCUAAUAAAGAGGGUCCAUGACGGUACCGUAAGAAUAAGCACCGGCUAACUACGUGCCAGCCGCCGCAGUAA
rnacentral:rRNA from 1 species